GAUGGAACCUGGGACCUCCUGCAUCCAAGACAGACACUCUACCACUGAUCUGCAUCCCCAACCCCCAAGUCAGUUUUGAGAGCAGGAGGAAACCUCCUCCCAGGAUUCUAAAAGAGAAUCCCUGAUUUCUCUAAUUGGAUUGGCUUAGGUCACAAGCUCAACCCUGAACCAAUCAUUUUGUUGAGGAGAGCAUAUGCUGAUGAACUGUCAAUCAUCUGGAGGGCCCCUACACAGCCUACUCCUGCCUGCUUUGUGACAGCUUUCCUGGUUCUCCAGCCUUGCCAGACUAAAGCUCUCUGUGUGCCUAGUGAAGACAGGAGCCAAGACGGAUGCCCCUUCCCCAACUGCCUUUCUCAAGUUGACCCACACUGCAAUCCUGCUUGGCAGCUGCAUCGCUGACAGAUGGCAAAGACAAUGACUAUAGAGUGAGAUCAAGACUGAAACCGAAUGCAGAAUC